rnacentral:rRNA from 1 species
CCUACGGGUGGCAGCAGUGGGGAAUAUUGGUCAAUGGGCGCAAGCCUGACCCAGCAACGCCGCGUGCAGGAAGAAGGCUUUCUGAUUGUAAACUUCUUUUAUCAGGGACGAAACCACUGACGGUACCUGAUGACUAAGCCACUGCUAACUACGUGCCAGCAGCCGCGGUAAUACGUAGGUUGCAAGCGUUAUCCGGAUUUACUGGGUGUAAAGGGUGUGUAGGCGGGAGUGCAAGUCAGAUGUGAAAACUAUGGGCUCAACCCAUAGCCUGCAUUUGAAACUGUACUUCUUGAGUGCUGUAGAGGUAAUCGGAAUGUAGGGUGUAGCGGUGAAAUGCGUAGAUAUA